UAAAAAAAAAAAAAAAAACUAAAUCCAGAAAACGAAACGUCUUCUACCUAUCAUGUCAUCGUCGGUUCGCUGAUUCUCUCUCUAUGUUAUUAUUCUCAAACAUGGCCUCCGACAAUUUGAUCAACAACAACGCUGUCUUGAAAAAGCUUAAAGCCAAUGAGGACUGCCGACGCAUUCGAUUUUGGUACAGAUGGCUGGCGUGCUCCUCAAUUUCGCGUGAUUCAUAGCUUGGUUGCGAUCAGCCUGCUCAGAUGGUUGGCGUGCUCCUCAAUUUGGUGGGGGAUGGAGUCUUUGAUUUGCUGUGGGGGAUGGAGUCUUCGAUUUGUUGUGAGUGUUUGGCCUGAUUCAUAGCAUGGUUACGAUCGGUCGGCUCAGAAUGCAGUGGCCUGUGAUGGAAGAAACCACCGCGCACUUGGUGAUAUCGAUAAUCUUCUUUGAAGUAGUUAAAUCUAGAGUUUUUAACAGAUUAUUUGAAUUCUGUGGGUAUUUAGGGUUGCUGCCACUCACUUUCCUUAGUUUUCUUGUCUCUCUUCGUGUGAUGGAUUUAAUUUUACAAUUAAGCAAAUAAUCUUUUAUUUUGCAGAUAUGGAUUAGCUCAACAACCUAUUGUACAACAAUAGUUAUAAUUAAACAUCGCAAUGCUGUGUGAUGGGGUUAGGCUGUCAUAUCAGAGUGUGUUUGAUCUUGGCUGAAGCCAUUAUAUCAAAUGCUACUACCCUUUCAUUCAUGCCUCUUCGACGAUACAUUUUUUUUAUCCGAGCAAGGGGACUAAAAACUAGGUCAACAAUGAAUUGUAGAUGGCCAGACGGUCAUGCAUCAUGACUCAUGCCAAUGGUGCUUAACUCUUGCUUUCUGGAAAAGUUCUAGGUAGGAGUGAAGCUGUCAGAUGGAAGGGAGUUCUUGACCAAAACCAUAAUAUCAAAUGUUACUAGAUCGGCUACCUUUUGUUAGUUGAGGAUGCUUCUUAAAGCUUUUUUUGUUUAUUUAACAUUUUAUCUAAACAAGUUCAACAUUGCUUUGUUUGUGCUACAAGGAAGAUUAAUUUCAAGAGUAUGUUAAGGCCCCAUCCUUUCUUUCUACUCACAUGUGUGUUAAAGCUGAUGUUUUGGCUCCAGCUACAGGUUGUCACCAUUUUCUCUGGAGCUUAUUUGGCCUUUGAUGGUUUAGGUUCGAGCAACUGGAGGUGCCUGGCAUAAGGUCCUUUUUUACCAUGAUAGUUGCCUCAAUCUCGGAUAUAAAUUUUUCCAAGAAUGGAAGACAUAUAUUUAGUCAUGACUAUCAAGGUUCUACUGGUAGAGGAACAUAGUACCCUUGCAGCAAGUCCAUCCAAUCCACCGGAAUUAUAUGUUCCAACUGAGUUAUCUAUUUCACUAAGUCAAUAUCCAAAUUUUCCAGCCAGAAAGUGCGGGCAUCUACCUAAAUUAAGUGAGAUGUCUCUUUCUUUCCAGGUUUCAUAGGGGUCUCAAGGAGUAGCCCAUGGCCUGCAAAAGUCUUUUGGAAAACAACAAGAAAAAAUUUAUUGUAUGGGUUUGAUGAUUGAUGAUUGAUGAGCGUAGUAGUAAUAAAGAAUGAUACUGCAGUAUGGGCAAGGACAAUGUCGAGAUGCCUAUCUAAAGAAGAAGGUCAAGCGUGAGAGUGUUUAUAUAGGUAUUGGUUGGGCUGAAUUUGCAUUUGAGAAUGGACUGAUCGUUGGGGAUUCAUUCUCCAUGGAGCUCAUUCACAAUGGAGAAAUACCCAAGUUACGUUGUCACAGAGUAUGACCAACAUCAAAAGACAACCAAACAUGCCAAGCUUAUGGAUGAUAAAACUGAUGACGAAUUCAAGAGAAGAAGAUUUGUCUUUUGUUGACUAACUGCUAUGAUCACCAUGUCAAUCUCUCUUUUCAAGAAUAAUGAGCAUGUUAUCCUUUUUGUUAAAACUUAAUAUUACAUUACAAUCAACGGAUUAUCAUGGUAAUAUAUAAUUUUCCAUCUUUAAAGCA